rnacentral:rRNA from 1 species
UACGUAGGGCGCAAGCGUUGUCCGGAAUUAUUGGGCGUAAAGAGCUUGUAGGCGGUUUGUCGCGUCUGCUGUGAAACCUCAAGGCUCAACCUUGAGCUUGCAGUGGGUACGGGCAGACUAGAGUGUGGUAGGGGAGACUGGAAUUCCUGGUGUAGCGGUGAAAUGCGCAGAUAUCAGGAGGAACACCGAUGGCGAAGGCAGGUCUCUGGGCCACUACUGACGCUGAGAAGCGAAAGCAUGGGGAGCGAACAGG